CCUACGGGUGGCAGCAGUGAGGAAUAUUGGUCAAUGGACGAGAGUCUGAACCAGCCAAGUAGCGUGAAGGAUGACUGCCCUAUGGGUUGUAAACUUCUUUUAUAAAGGAAUAAAACGAGGCACGUGUGCCUUUUUGCAUGUACUUUAUGAAUAAGGAUCGGCUAACUCCGUGCCAGCAGCCGCGGUAAUACGGAGGAUCCGAGCGUUAUCCGGAUUUAUUGGGUUUAAAGGGAGCGUAGAUGGGUUGUUAAGUCAGUUGUGAAAUUUUGGGGCUCAACCGCAAAAUUGCAAUUGAUACUGGCAGCCUUGAGUACAGGUGAGGUAAGCGGAAUGCGUGGUGUAGCGGUGAAAUGCUUAGAUAUCACGAAGAACCCCGAUUGCGAAGGCAGCUUACUAAACUGUGACUGACAUUGAUGCUCGAAAGUGUGGGUAUCAAACAGGAUUAGAUACCCGAGUAGUC
rnacentral:rRNA from 1 species